rnacentral:rRNA from 1 species
AUUGAACGCUGGCGGCAGGCCUAACACAUGCAAGUCGAGCGGAUGACGGGAGCUUGCUCCUUGAUUCAGCGGCGGACGGGUGAGUAAUGCCUAGGAAUCUGCCUGGUAGUGGGGGACAACGUUUCGAAAGGAACGCUGAUACCGCAUACGUCAUACGGGAGAAAGCAGGGGACCUUCGGGCCUUGCGCUAUCAGAUGCGCCUAGGUCGGAUUAGCUAGUAGGUGAGGUAAUGGCUCACCUAGGCGACGAUCCGUAACUGGUCUGAGAGGAUGAUCAGUCACACUGGAACUGAGACACGGUCCAGACUCCUACGGGAGGCAGCAGUGGGGAAUAUUGGACAAUGGGCGAAAGCCUGAUCCAGCCAUGCCGCGUGUGUGAAGAAGGUCUUCGGAUUGUAAAGCACUUUAAGUUGGGAGGAAGGGUUGUACGUUAAUUCCGUGCAAUUUUGACGUUACCGACGGAAUAAGCACCGGCUAACUCUGUGCCAGCAGCCGCAGUAA